ACUCUACGUUGACGCAUGUGGCUCUGCACUCAUAGAGGAUUGCUUCUCGGACGUUUAUUUAACGUGAUAACGGUCUUUGCUCCGUGCCUUCUGGCUGGCUGCACUGUCAUUUAGGCCGGCGGUGGGGAAGUGAUUUCGGUGGUGAGCCAAUCGCUCCCCAGCCUCAAUCUGUAAAGUACUAUAUUUGGGAAGUACAUGGUUAAGUGGCUGCUUCUUUCUCAACCGGUGAUGAGGACUUUUCGCUGGGAUCUCUGCUGGGGUAUCUUAGCUCUCCACAUGCUCUCUCAUCUCUACAUGGCCUCUCUACAUGGUGGUUCACCCUGUAGGCUUUACUCUACCUGGUCCUCUCUGCAGUAGAACAGCUAAGCUUCCCUCGCAUCACAGGAUUACUGGAGCAGCUGGUCCGAAUGUCACCAUACCCUCGUCUGUUCAAUGAGAGUCCAAGUGCCUCCUUGAGAACUAUGAAAACAGCAGCUGAGAACAAGAAGAAGUAACGGCUCAAUGUUUUACAUCAUUAGCUCAGAGUGCAGCAAUUGCAACCCCUUGGGUA
rnacentral:lncRNA from 1 species